rnacentral:rRNA from 1 species
AUUGAACGCUGGCGGCAGGCCUAACACAUGCAAGUCGAGCGGCAGCGGAAAGUGGCUUGCUACUUUGCCGGCGAGCGGCGGACGGGUGAGCAAUGUCUGGGAAACUGCCUGAUGGAGGGGGAUAACUACUGGAAACGGUAGCUAAUACCGCAUAACGUCGCAAGACCAAAGAGGGGGACCUUCGGGCCUCUUGCCAUCAGAUGUGCCCAGAUGGGAUUAGCUAGUAGGUGGGGUAACGGCUCACCUAGGCGACGAUCCCUAGCUGGUCUGAGAGGAUGACCAGCCACACUGGAACUGAGACACGGUCCAGACUCCUACGGGAGGCAGCAGUGGGGAAUAUUGCACAAUGGGCGCAAGCCUGAUGCAGCCAUGCCGCGUGUAUGAAGAAGGCCUUCGGGUUGUAAAGUACUUUCAGCGGGGAGGAAGGUGUUGUGGUUAAUAACCUCAGCAAUUGACGUUACCCGCAGAAGAAGCACCGGCUAACUCCGUGCCAGCCGCCGCCGUAACAC